ACUCCUACGGGAGGCAGCAGUGGGGAAUCUUGGACAAUGGGGGCAACCCUGAUCCAGCCAUGCCGCGUGAGUGAUGAAGGCCUUAGGGUCGUAAAGCUCUUUCGCCUGUGAAGAUAAUGACGGUAGCAGGUAAAGAAACCCCGGCUAACUCCGUGCCAGCAGCCGCGGUAAUACGGAGGGGGUUUAGCGUUGUUCGGAAUUUACUGGGCGUAAAGCGCACGUAGGCGGACUGGAAAGUUGGGGUGAAAUCCCAGGGCUCAACCCUGGAACUGCCUCCAAAACUAUCAGUCUAGAGUUCGAGAGAGGUGAGUGGAAUUCCGAGUGUAGAGGUGAAAUUCGUAGAUAUUCGGAGGAACACCAGUGGCGAAGGCGGCUCACUGGCUCGAUACUGACGCUGAGGUGCGAAAGUGUGGGGAGCAAACAGGAUUAGAUACCCUGGUAGGACAGUG
rnacentral:rRNA from 1 species